ACGAGAAGACGGGGCUUACGUUGGAUGCAAGUUAUUGUCGUCCGGCAAGGUUUUAAAAAGUGAUGUUAUAGCUACUGGACAUUGAAGCGAUUGAAGACCAGAAAGCCUUAGUGCGACCGGCUUGAUUCAGGUGGCCUAUAUGUAUACCAUUGGGAGAGUUAAAGAAGUUUAGUCCUCUAAAAGAAGUCCUCCGGAAAGUUUACUGCAACAAAGAUUACUCCCCGAGAGCGACACUCGUUAAGGAUGCGAGUAUUUGAAGUUCCGCUUUCAAGCAUUGGACGGCCUGCAAAUUACCAUUGGAGCCAAACUGUAUACAUUUUCUAGAUGAUCUUAAAUACGGAGCGGUAUUCUAAAGAUGUAGUUGUGCAGUGUGUAGUUCGUAGAUUACGAAACAACGGAGCGAGAAUACAGUUGGCGUUCCGUUUUGGGUCAGUUAUUUUGUUUUCCUUUUUCCAUGUUUUAAAGUCGCUGUGCUUUAUGCUCAGGAUCGAAGCAAAAUGUACAGGAGUAGGCUGCGAUGUGAUGCGUGUUGUAUAAAACCAAUAAACCAAAAAUGGCA